UACGUAGGGUGCGAGCGUUGUCCGGAAUUAUUGGGCGUAAAGAGCUCGUAGGCGGUCUGUCGCGUCGGUCGUGAAAACUUGGGGCUUAACCCUGAGCUUGCGGUCGAUACGGGCAUGACUGGAGUUCGGCAGGGGAGACUGGAAUUCCUGGUGUAGCGGUGAAAUGCGCAGAUAUCGAGAGGAACACCUGCGGCGAAGGCGGGUUGCUGGGCCGACACUGACGCUGAUGCGCGAAAGCCAGGGGAGCGAACGGG
rnacentral:rRNA from 1 species